rnacentral:lncRNA from 1 species
GGGGAGAACUUGAAGCAGGGAGGGGUCUUCCAGGUCACAAGUAGGUGAGAGACAAAUAGUUGCAUUCUUUUGAGUUUCUAAUUAGCUUUUACAAAGGAGCCAAUCAGAAUAUGCAUUUACCUCAGUGAGCAGAGGGAUGACUUUGAAUAGAAUGGGAAGCAGGUUUGCUCUGAGCAGUUUCCAGCUUGAAUUUUCCUUUUAGCUUAGUGAUUUUGGGGGCCCAAGAUAUUUUCCUUUCACUUAGUCUAUACAUACGUCUCAUACCUCCCUCUUAAGAACUAGCAGCCAGGUGCAGUGGCUCAGGCCUGUAAUCCCAGAACUUUGGGAGGGUGGGGUGGGCAGAUCAUGAGGUCAAGAGAUUGAGACCAUCCUGGCCAACAUGGUGAAACCCCGUCUCUACUAAAAAAUACAAAAAAUUAGCCAGGUGUGGUGGUGUGUGCCUGUAGUCCCAGCUACUAGGGAGGCUGAGGCAGGGGAUUCACUUGAACCCAGGAGGUGGAGGUUGUAGUGAGCUGAGAUCGCACCACUGCACUCCAGCCUGGUGACAGAACAAGACUCCAUGGUAAGUCACAAAGCUAUUUAUAUAUUUUUUCAACUUCAUGUCUAAGAAUUGGCUGAAAAGUGACAAUUCAGAACGGUUGAGUGAGAAAGAAUGAAAAAAAUCACAAUUCUGUGACAUAACUCGGGCUCCACACCCCGCCGGUCAAUGAUUUACAGAAUUAGAUACCAACCCAGAGAGGGAGAAAUUAGCCAAGACUGGCACUGAAAAAGGCAAGACUGCACAGUGAGAGGAAAUGGGACAGAUAGGACCAAUAAAGUAGGAGAAUUUCCAGGGAUGGUUACAGAUCACGACUCCACACUUGGUCACUGCACAGAUCCUGGAUGAACCACAGGAAGGAAGGGAACAGAAAAAGGCCCAGUUGGAACCCUCUGUGGUGUGAAUCAACAGGAAGAAACUCCAGGCACAAGAGUCAAGGCCCUAACUUUCAUCUGAAAAUGAUGCUUUCGUGGAAAAAGAGGCAGCAAAGCAAAAAAACAAUCUCCUCUCAAGAAUGACUACAUUAGCAUGCUGACACAAGAACAAAUACCCUUGCCACAAAGAAAUAAACUACAAUGGUGCCUUCCAUAGGGAUUGGUUCCAGGAACCCCCUUAGAUACCAAUAUCUGCAGAUGCUCAAGUCCCUGAUAUAAAGUGGCAUAGUAUUUGCACAUAACCUAUGCACAUCCUCCUAUAAAUCAUCUCUAGAUUAUUAGUAAUACCUACUACAAUGUAAAUACUACGUAAAUAGUUCUUAUACUGUAUUUUUACUUAUUUUUGUUUUAUCAUUUUUUAAUUUUUUCUGCCCUCCCACCCCAGAAUAUUUUUUCUUCUUUGUUGGUUGAAUCUGCUGAUGCAGAACCCAUGGAUACAGAGGCCAAGUGUAACUAAAAUCCAACGAAAAAAUGCCCAACAUUUCACUGUUUUUUUUUUUAAGAUUGAAAAAUAAAUUCACCUUCCCCAACCUGUUUUAAAAAAUACUUUAUAUCCUUAAGGAGCUCUGAACUUACAUAUACACCAGAGAUUUCCCAUAGAUACACAAUCUAUCAUUUACAUAGUUUAUGAGAAAAAAAGAUAUUUAAUAGUUAAAAAGGCAAGAAAAGAAAGGCAAGAUUUAAAUGUAGUGGUAACAAAUGUUUUUUGUGGUAAUAAAUGCUUUUUUCUUCCUCCCAGCUUUGUGGAAGUGUGGAGAUUCACAUUCAAAAUGAAGAAUUGUUUCGUGAAAUAAUUUGCAGAGGCUCAAUCAAGAGAAAUGAAAUUACUUAAAGAGCAAUUUCAACAUAGUGAAAGCCUGCUAGGGAGGUAGAUGCAGGUUUCUUAGUCAUCAAAUGCCAUGCUGACCCAGAUUCAGGGCAGAGUGAGCACCAAGCAUUUUGAAAGCUGAUCGAAUGGAGAGUCUAUUUUAAUUUUUUUAAGCUGCCAUUUCUUUAAAAAAAAAAAAAAAAGAAAGAAAGAAAGCCCCAGGGCAUGCAAAGAGUAAAAUAUACUGAUCAUUAAAAUAUUUAAAUUCACCAACAGCAGUGGUUAAUAAAACAUCAAAAUGAAAGUUUACAAAAAUUAGUCUCAACUUGUUUAAAGUAGCACACUCACCAAUGCAUGCGAUUUGUUAAUCAUGAUGGAGAUCUCAGAUGCUUUUGAAGAGGCUGAACUGAUAUGAGAAAGUCUUAACCAGUUGUUGCUUCUUUGAAGAAGAAGGAAGGGGCCACAAGCCAAGGAAUGUGGUGGCAUCUAGACACUGGAAAAAGCAAGAAAAUGAAUUCUCCACUAAAGCAUCCAGAAACACAGCUCUAAAGAUCCCCAGUUUUAGUCCAGUAUGACCCAUGUUGGACUUCUAAACCAUAGAAUUGUAAGAUACUAAAUUUAUGCUGUUUUAAACCAUUAUGUUCAUGAUAAUUUGUUACAGUAGCCAUAGAAAUCUAAUAAAAUUGAGA